CCUACGGGAGGCAGCAGUGAGGAAUAUUGGUCAAUGGGCGGGAGCCUGAACCAGCCAAGCCGCGUGAGGGAAGAAGGUACAGCGUAUCGUAAACCUCUUUUGUCAGGGAACAAAGGCGGGGACUAGUCCCCGGAUGAGGGUACCUGAAGAAAAAGCAUCGGCUAACUCCGUGCCAGCAGCCGCGGUAAUACGGAGGAUGCGAGCGUUAUCCGGAUUUAUUGGGUUUAAGGGGUGCGCAGGCGGCCUGUUAAGUCAGCGGUAAAAGCCCGGGGCUCAACCCCGGCGAGCCGUUGAAACUGGGGGGCGGGAGUGGGAGAGAGGGAGGGGGGAUGCGGGGGGGAGGGGUGAAAGG
rnacentral:rRNA from 1 species